UCUGUGUUCCACAGGAACCCUGUCCUACAGCCCACCAGAGUGGAUCCACCAGCAACGCUACCAUGGCCAGGCAGCAACAAUCUGGUCCCUGGGCCUCCUGCUCUACCAGCUGGUCAUAGGGAAGCACCCAUUCAUGAGGGGCCAGCAGAUCAUCUGGGGGCGGAUCUUGUUCCCACGACGGCUCUCCCAAGAAUGCCAAGAUAUUAUUAAGAGGUGUUUGUCCAUGCAACCCUCGGACAGGCCAUCCUUAGAAGACCUUUUCCGCGAUCCUUGGAUGCAGGCUGUUCAUCUGCCCUAGGAGAUGGGAGAGAUCCACAUGCACAGUUGGAUCCAGGGGCCUGGCAGGCAAGGAGAAGGAGCCCCUGGAGAAGCUGUUACCAGCUGGGGCUGCUGCUGGAGACACCAAGGACAACCUCAAGGAUGGCAAUCUCUUCCUCCAGCUGGCCAGCUGAAGAUGAUGGAUUUCAAUUCUGGCAUGUCUUCUUCAAAGACUCGCUCCACGCCCAAUUUGCAGGUGAGUCCACAGCCAGGGGAUGCUCCCAGAU